rnacentral:rRNA from 1 species
UGAGGAUACGGUUAACGGAGCGAAAGCGACGUUCAACCGCAAAACAAGCAGAGGGGGCUUAGUGGUGGGGUGACUGCGUACCUUUUGUAUAAUGGGUCAGCGACUUAUAUUCUGUAGCAAGGUUAACCGAAUAGGGGAGCCGGAGGGAAACCGAGUCUUAAUUGGGCGUUAAGUUGCAGGGUAUAGACCCGAAACCCGGUGAUCUAGCCAUGGGCAGGUUGAAGGUUGGGUAACACUAACUGGAGGACCGAACCGACUAAUGUUGAAAAAUUAGCGGAUGACCUGUGGCUGGGGGUGAAAGGCCAAUCAAACCGGGAGAUAGCUGGUUCUCCCCGAAAGCUAUUUAGGUAGCGCCUCGUGAAUUCAUCUCCGGGGGUAGAGCACUGUUUCGGCUAGGGGGCCAUCCCGGCUUACCAACCCGAUGCAAACUGCGAAUACCGGAGAAUGUUAUCACGGGAGACACACGGCGGGUGCUAACGUCCGUCGUGAAGAGGGAAACAACCCAGACCGCCAGCUAAGGUCCCAAAGUCAUGGUUAAGUGGGAAACGAUGUGGGAAGGCCCAGACAGCCAGGAUGUUGGCUUAGAAGCAGCCAUCAUUUAAAGAAAGCGUAAUAGCUCACUGGUCGAGUCGGCCUGCGCGGAAGAUGUAACGGGGCUAAACCAUGCACCGAAGCUGCGGCAGCGAACGUAUCACCCAAGACAACUUUACGGAGUUGACGAUUGACGGAGCGAAGCGACGUCAAAGCGUUCAUUAAAGUCGAGUUGGCUUAGGGAUACGUUCGUUGGGUAGGGGAGCGUUCUGUAAGCCUGUGAAGGUGUGUCGUGAGGCAUGCUGGAGGUAUCAGAAGUGCGAAUGCUGACAUAAGUAACGAUAAAGCGGGUGAAAAGCCCGCUCGCCGGAAGACCAAGGGUUCCUGUCCAACGUUAAUCGGGGCAGGGUGAGUCGACCCCUAAGGCGAGGCCGAAAGGCGUAGUCGAUGGGAAACGGGUUAAUAUUCCCGUACUUGGUGUUACUGCGAAGGGGGGACGGAGAAGGCUAUGUUGGCCGGGCGACGGUUGUCCCGGUUUAAGCGUGUAGGUGUGUGUUCCAGGUAAAUCCGGUUCACUUUAACACUGAGGCGUGACGACGAGGCACUACGGUGCUGAAGCAACAAAUGCCCUGCUUCCAGGAAAAGCCUCUAAGCAUCAGGUAACAUCAAAUCGUACCCCAAACCGACACAGGUGGUCAGGUAGAGAAUACCAAGGCGCUUGAGAGAACUCGGGUGAAGGAACUAGGCAAAAUGGUGCCGUAACUUCGGGAGAAGGCACGCUGACACGUAGGUGAAGUGAUUUACUCAUGGAGCUGAAGUCAGUCGAAGAUACCAGCUGGCUGCAACUGUUUAUUAAAAACACAGCACUGUGCAAACACGAAAGUGGACGUAUACGGUGUGACGCCUGCCCGGUGCCGGAAGGUUAAUUGAUGGGGUCAGCGCAAGCGAAGCUCCUGAUCGAAGCCCCGGUAAACGGCGGCCGUAACUAUAACGGUCCUAAGGUAGCGAAAUUCCUUGUCGGGUAAGUUCCGACCUGCACGAAUGGCGUAAUGAUGGCCAGGCUGUCUCCACCCGAGACUCAGUGAAAUUGAACUCGCUGUGAAGAUGCAGUGUACCCGCGGCAAGACGGAAAGACCCCGUGAACCUUUACUAUAGCUUGACACUGAACAUUGAGCCUUGAUGUGUAGGAUAGGUGGGAGGCUUUGAAGUGUGGACGCCAGUCUGCAUGGAGCCGACCUUGAAAUACCACCCUUUAAUGUUUGAUGUUCUAACGUGGACCCGUAAUCCGGGUUGCGGACAGUGUCUGGUGGGUAGUUUGACUGGGGCGGUCUCCUCCUAAAGAGUAACGGAGGAGCACGAAGGUUGGCUAAUCCUGGUCGGACAUCAGGAGGUUAGUGCAAUGGCAUAAGCCAGCUUGACUGCGAGCGUGACGGCGCGAGCAGGUGCGAAAGCAGGUCAUAGUGAUCCGGUGGUUCUGAAUGGAAGGGCCAUCGCUCAACGGAUAAAAGGUACUCCGGGGAUAACAGGCUGAUACCGCCCAAGAGUUCAUAUCGACGGCGGUGUUUGGCACCUCGAUGUCGGCUCAUCACAUCCUGGGGCUGAAGUAGGUCCCAAGGGUAUGGCUGUUCGCCAUUUAAAGUGGUACGCGAGCUGGGUUUAGAACGUCGUGAGACAGUUCGGUCCCUAUCUGCCGUGGGCGCUGGAGAACUGAGGGGGGCUGCUCCUAGUACGAGAGGACCGGAGUGGACGCAUCACUGGUGUUCGGGUUGUCAUGCCAAUGGCACUGCCCGGUAGCUAAAUGCGGAAGAGAUAAGUGCUGAAAGCAUCUAAGCACGAAACUUGCCCCGA